rnacentral:rRNA from 1 species
GACGAACGCUGGCGGCGGGCUUAACACAUGCAAGUCGAACGGAAAGGCCCUGCUUUUUUGGGGUUCUCGAGGCGCGAACGGGUGAGUAACAUGGGAGUAACCUGCCCUGUACGUGGUAAUAACUUCAGGAAACUGCUACUAAUACAUGAUAGCAGCUCCUGCUGCAGGGGGGGGGUUGGAAAGUUUAGGCUGUUGGGGCUGGACUCCGGGCUUAUCAGCUGGUUGGUGGGGUAGUGGCUUACCAGGGGUUUGACGGGUAGCCUGCCUGGGAGCGUGAACGGCCACCUUGCGACUAAGAGAGGGCGCAGACGGGUACGGGAGGCAGUAGUGGGGAACAUUGUACAAUGGGGGGAAGCCUGAUGAAGCAAUCUUGCGUGUGGGAUGACGGCCUUCGGGUUGUAAACCGCUUUAGGCUGUGACGAAGCGUGAGUGACGUUAAUGGGUAAAGAAGCACCGGCUAACUACGUG